CUUGAAACCCUGAGCCCUGUCCCAGGCAGAUCCAGAGCCCUCACCCCCGACCCUGACCCCUGCUCUGAUGCAAGAAUGGCCUGCUUUCAUACAGACUAAGUGGGCUUGAGCAAUACUUCUGACAUCAUCUGCAGAAAUGGACUUUCCCUUCACUUCAGGUGCACACCCUCCAUCCCUUCUCCCUUCUCAUUAUAUGUAAAUAGUGAUGGACAAGAAUUUGAAGAAACCUGCCCUCCUUGAUUUUUCUCUUUCCAGUUGUCCCCAGUUGUCCUCACCUCGUAGCCCACACCUCAAGCACUGCCAGAUGUCAGGAAUCUGAGAAGUGACCAGCUCUGAACCCCAGUGGCCCAGUGCAAGGGCCUAGAAACCAGACACCACCUGACUUGGAAUCCCUACUCCAGCACUUGGGUGAGCUCCCAUAUUUCUGAGUCUUAAUACUCUAAUUUGCAAAAUAAGACUCGUACCCUGGAAAAUCUUGAACAAUAGCAUAGGGUGGUU
rnacentral:lncRNA from 1 species